UGGGACACCGUUCGGGCAGCGUGAUGAACUCACGCACGCUUUAAAUGCGCCGUUCGACGGUUGCGGUAUCUGAAUUGGGACACAGGAAGGGUACAUAACAGCGCAUAAUGGCACAUAACAGCACAAAACGGCAGUGCGCUCAGCUAAGCGCGCUUAAGCGCGCUUAUCCCGAUGCGGUCUCUGAAAUGAGACACAGCCCCUGUGUUUCCGUGUUUGUCUGGUUGGCUUGACUUUCUUCCAGAGUUCCCUCCCCUCCCCCGGUCGCUGAGGCUGAGUGAGACUACACACUUGCUCUACAUCUGCAAUCAAGGCACUUCAAGAAGCCAGCAGCCCUCAGUCUCACUCUCUCUCCGUCUGUGCCCGAGGCAAAGCCUCCCACCAACCUCCGGCUGGCUUGCUUCGUCCUCUGCCUGUGCCUUCACGCCCCUGGUCUCACAUAGCCCUAGAUUUCGUCACUGGUCUCCCCCCUUCUGAAGGUAACACAGUCAUACUCACCAUCGUUGAUAGAUUUUCCAAAUUUGUUCAUUAUGUCCCGUUUCCCAAGCUCCUGUCUGCUUUAGAAACUGCUAACCUCCUGGUAUCUCAUGUGUUCCAACUACAUGGGAUUCCCCUUGACAUAGUAUCAGAUCGUGGUCCCCAGUUCUCUUCCCAGGUCUGGAAAGCUUUCUGCCAGGCAGUGGGCGCAGCAGCUAGCCUCUCCUCGGGUUACCACCCGCAGACCAAUGGCCAGACGGAGCAGGCUAAUCAAAACCUCACAUCGGCCCUGCAGUGUGUGGCGGCCCAUCAUCCAGCGUCCUGGAGUACGCACCUCCUAUGGAUCCAAUACGCCCAUUACUCCCUCACCUCUUCGGCCACAGGUAUGUCUCCCUUCAUGUGCUGUUUUGGUUACCAGCCCCCCCUGUUUCCCGAACAGGAGCACCUGGUGGCCGUCCCAUCAGUGAGAGAGCACAUUGGGCGUCUACGGGAGUUGUGGAGAUCCGCCAGGGCCGCACUCACCCGCACGGCCGACUUUCUUCCAGAGCUCCCUUCCCUCCCCCGGUCGCUGAGGCUGAGUGAGACUACACACCUGCUCUACAUCUGCAAUCAAGGCACUUCAAGAAGCCAGCAGCCCUCAGUCUCAGCGCCUGAGUAUUGUCUACCCUUCCAAGUGGUACAAACGCGUCUCCUGGCCUUCCUUGUUGUAUAAAUACUUGUAACUCUGCUCCUUUGCAUGUCUACUCACUUCUCUCUCUCUCUCUCCUCUGUUUCUUCCUGCAGUAUCUCCAGCCCACACGACAGCCAGCCAGCCAGCCUACCGGACUUCCUCUUUUUGCCUUUAAAACCUGAGUUGGACAUUAAAAUUACACCUUAAGUUGAUCUCUGUCUCUGUGUCUGCUUCUGGAUCCUCACAACUCACCAGUCACACCACACCG